GCAGUAUAUGUAGUGGUGGGUUUGCAAGGCUAAUAAUCAUGGCAAGGAAAACUCACACUAUCUCAAGAUUGGUCAAAUUCCCUAUGCUCGGGGAGAGCGGGCCAGACAGGUUCUGGCUCGGAGCUUCUCUGCCAAAUUGACACAGCCAGGUGACCAUGGUCCAGCUGCAAGGAUCCACGGAGUCUUGGUCCCAGUUCUUGAGUACGCCAUGGGGAUCCUUGAGGCAGUUCUUGAUCAUCAUGAGGGCUUGCACUGCAAGUGCAAGCAGAACAGAGAUUGUCACACACCAAUGCAAGAGGAACAAACAGAGGAGGCCCAAUAGCUUGGUGUUCUUGAUCCGGGAGAAGGAUACGGACAAAGCAUCGAGCACCAAUGCAAGAACAGGAAACAAAAACCAAGAGGGGCUCUUGAUUUGAGAGAGGAAUAUUAACUUAACUAACCUUCAUAGUUUACACCCUUGGGGGAGAGGAGACCGUUGGCCGGCGCGGGAGGGAAGGAGAAGAAGAGAAGCAGCACCAAGGAGGAAGCAGCGAGAACCGCCAUUAAUCCACCGGGGAAGAAGCAGGGGCUCUAGGACUAGGAGCUUCUUGUGUGUUCAAACAUUGAAGCAAGCAAGGGUGAGGCCAAGGAAAAGAAGCACGCAGCCUUCUCUUCUCGCACACACAAGCAGCCGAGUGGCACUCCAGUUGCAGUGGGCAGGGGAGGGGAGGGGAGGCCCGCUGAGGUUUUGUCAGUAGCAAAUGACACAAAAGAAGAUGCCUGUGCUCUGGUUUGAAGCAAAGGUACAAAAGGAGGGAACAGACAUGCCUGCCGCCUGGCCCCACGCUCGGAGUAGUAGAAUAUUGGGAGGGGCAAAGGAGGGGCCGAAAAUUCUUCUUUCCCACCAAUUUUCUGCCCCUCCUUGGGGCCUGUGAAAAAAACUCAGGCAGUGGAAAACAGUGACAGCGUGCUGUGAACUUGUUGAGAGGUCUAUCUAGCUAGACUAAUCUCGUGUUAAAAGAUCAGAUUAGCAUUGAUCCCAUCCAAGAAAGACAUGCGCUUUAUCGGAGUGUGGUGUGUGUGGCUGUCACAGGCCACCACGGCAGGCACCUUUGAGGGAUUCUUGCCACGAAAGAAUUCCCCGAGCUGGACAAUUAGCUUGGGACGCGUGUGUGUGGCAAUUCUAUUGGGGGGCGAUAAACAAUGGAUCGAAAGUAUCUUUAGUUGGAGGAAGCCAGGAUAAUGACAGGGAGGAAGCGCCUCUCGCCUGACCUGAAGUGGAGGCAAAUGGACAAGGGAAUUUUGGCCAUCACGCAUUGUGGAUGAAGAAUCAGGUAUCGGAUUAGAGAGCACAUAUAAUCCCAGUAGUGACGAGAAAGAUGAGCACAACACGCCCUGCCGCGGUUGGUCGUGUCGCCACAUCAGUUUGUACCAGUUCGGUUGGCAUCAUACUCCUAGACUAGAUAAAACUACAUACGUACUCCCUCCGGUCUCUUUUAAUUGACUCGGAUUUAGUACAACUCUAUACUAAAUUUGAGUCAAUUAAAAAGGACCGGAGGGAGUACACUCAAGUGGAGGCAUCCCUGCUUUUCAUUCUGAUGGAUUGUCAGGUAUCAAUUUACCCUCAAGGCGGAAUAUGAAAAUCCAUCCCCCAUACUUGGCCAUGUCAUGUCAUGGUACUUGCGGUUCAGGGGCAGGAUAUGCAUAUGCAGAAGAGUGGUGUGUAAUGAGACGGGAGAGGGCGAGACGGCCAUGCUCCUCCCCCUCUUUUAGGGCCAGAAAUCAUUGCAGUCUACCUAGCAUGGAAGACGUGACCUCUCUUUCCCAGUGAAAUGAGAUCAGGUAUCAUACGAACAUGGCAAAAACGUACACGGGACCAUCAAAAGACGAUCUCUGGGUUUAUCCUUGCGGACAUGGACACUCGGAUGGUGUUCUCCAGAAAAUGGCAGCAUAAUUAUUGAGUAACCUCAGUUAAACUCGAUGCACUAGCACAACUUAUUAUGCAUGUCUGGUAAAGCUCAAAGCGUGGGGCGUAAAUCAUAAUUGUUUGCUGCUGCUUCACUUGCCCAAAUCUGAAUUUCCUUCCUCCUCUGCUCUGCAUGAUUAGCUUCGCGCUUUAUAGAGAUGAGCCUUUGGUAUAUGUUAGUACAUUUUCCAAACCACGCUUCAUCUCUGUAGCCAUCAUCUGAAUGAUGACACUUAGUGGCUAUGGAGAUGAUGAUUAACACGAGCCCAGUCUUUAGGGUAUGCAUAAACAAACAAAAAGUAGCAGAAUACGGAUACAUGCUGUAUACACAAAUAUAUACUGUCCAUAUAUGUGUGAACAUGCAUCUGCAGUAGCAGUACUGCUCCCACAGUACGCGCGCACUGCAGUGCAGAACAGUAGAAUAUCUUUGCACCCACACAUCACAACUGCCUCUACUGCCAUCGCUAAUGUCAUCGUCUUGUGUACUGUUUUGACUGGGCGACCAAGAAGCCAUGCUGAAUCUUCUGCUUGUGAUCCUCGAUCAGCUUGCCUUUGACCAGCUGAGGACAAAUUACACAGUGAACACGUCAUAGUUAACUGUCAACUUCGGCGUGCUAUAUUUGGAGCUACUUUGAUAUUGGCAAGGUAAGGAUGACUCAUCACAAAGAUUUAAAGAAGGCGAGCUGAUGUGCUAUAUAUCUAUCUGAUUUCGUAUUGCUAUAGUUACUAAUCAACUAUCAACAACUGAAGCUCGACCUCACAUUAUGCCAAACAGUGGCGCACUUCACUACGCCAUUUUCUUUUCAGCCUAAAAGUACAUACUGCUAAUUGCCCAAGUCUUUAUGCUGGUGUCUUGUUUGGUAGUAGUACUACUAAUGAACAAGAUGAAAGCAUGGUUAUCCCAAGAGAAUCUGUACAUCACACAAGUUUGUCCAUGCAUUAGAUUCCUAAAUCCACUCCCAUGUUUGGCCGGAACAGGGAUGGGUAGCAGUUGGAAACUCGAGAACUGUGCCCAUUUUUUUCUCUGCACUACUGCUUCCACAUGCUUGGCACUAGCUCUCGCGCCUUUGCUUUUUCAUCUUCUCAUGUAACCUGCCCAACUUAUUCCCCAAUAGCAUAUACAUAUACUUUCUUGUUCAGGAAAGGUUUUGAGGUUACUUUAGAUUCGGAAAAUUGGCUAUGUAAACAAACAUUGCCAUCCUAUGUACGGGCCUCUUGUUUUGCC